UGGGGAAUAUUGGACAAUGGGCGCAAGCCUGAUCCAGCCAUGCCGCGUGAGUGAUGAAGGCCUUAGGGUUGUAAAGCUCUUUCGCCGGUGAAGAUAAUGACGGUAACCGGAGAAGAAGCCCCGGCUAACUUCGUGCCAGCAGCCGCGGUAAUACGAAGGGGGCUAGCGUUGCUCGGAAUCACUGGGCGUAAAGCGCACGUAGGCGGAUCGUUAAGUCAGGGGUGAAAUCCUGGAGCUCAACUCCAGAACUGCCCUUGAUACUGGCGAUCUCGAGUUCGAGAGAGGUUGGUGGAACUCCGAGUGUAGAGGUGAAAAUUCGUAGAUAUUCGGAAGAACACCAGUGGCGAAGGCGGCCAACUGGCUCGAUACUGACGCUGAGGUGCGAAAAGCGUGGGGAGCAAAAGCAGGAUUAGAUACCC
rnacentral:rRNA from 1 species